rnacentral:rRNA from 1 species
UACAGAGGGUGCAAGCGUUGUUCGGAAUUACUGGGCGUAAAGCGUGCGUAGUCGGUAUUGAGAGUCGCGGGUGAAAUCCCAGGGCUUAACCCUGGAACUGCCUGCGAGACCUCAGUACUAGAGUGUGAGAGGGAUAGUGGAAUACCCAGUGUAGCGGUGAAAUGCGUAGAGAUUGGGUGGAACACCGGUGGCGAAGGCGGCUAUCUGGCUCACAACUGACGAUCAGGCACGAAAGCGUGGGGAGCAAACAGG